UACGUAGGGCGCAAGCGUUAUCCGGAAUUAUUGGGCGUAAAGAGCUCGUAGGCGGUUUGUCGCGUUUGUCGUGAAAGUCCGGGGCUCAACUCCGGAUCUGCGGUGGGUACGGGCAGACUAGAGUGAUGUAGGGGAGACUGGAAUUCCUGGUGUAGCGGUGAAAUGCGCAGAUAUCAGGAGGAACACCGAUGGCGAAGGCAGGUCUCUGGGCAUUAACUGACGCUGAGGAGCGAAAGCAUGGGGAGCGAACAGG
rnacentral:rRNA from 1 species